CACUGUAUCACUCAAACAACACUCGCACAUCAGUAUUGUUGGUAGCACGUCGCGUGUUGUGUUUAAGUUCAUUAUUUCAGAGUUUGUCGGGAUGAAACAAAAAAGUUUGUAGAAGUUGUCAAGCAGCCAACCUCCAUAUCACUGAGGUCUCUGUCUCUUAACCCACUAAUGUUGCUUCUUCUAUCAGUGCUGCAGUGUUCACGUUCAGAACAACUCAGCAACUAUGAGUGAGUCACUAGAGAAGAGGACAGGGCACAUAUAAGGCAUUUCUUCAUGGAAAAGCCCAAAAGACAAUAUCUUUAACCAGAUCACACCAAGCUAAACCAAUGACCAGCAGCUUACUCUGGACCAGCCAGUGGCAGGAUGUCAAUGUCAGGAAAAGGUUCUAAAACAUGUUCAUGUCUCAGUAUGUUUGUUGUGAAGAUGUAUUUUUAGUAUUUGGUGAUUAAAAUGACUUCCAUAUGUUUUGUACAGUGCACACAGCUCUUACCAAGCUCAUCCACUGCUUCUGCCCUGACAAAACAUACACAUUUUGCACUAGAUUGUAAUCUAUUUGCAACUGUCAUGCACUUUUAAAUGAAUUUUGUUGGUAACUGUUAUCAAUUAAACAGUAGAAAGAAUGAGUUGUUCUUUUUUUUUUUUUUUUACCUGGGUGUGGGGCGCGUGCCAGGCCUGCUGUUUACUUGUGCAAGCAAGGCCCGCAGGGUACAUUUUUUGGUACUCAGUGUACUAAAAUGAGCUGUUUGGUAAAAUAAUGUAACCAAAUGGUUGCACAAACAUCUCCCAGCAGCACAAGAGCAUGUUUAUGCUGUCUUCUCAGGUGGUAUAUUUGUAGUUUCAAAGAUGAUCUGAAGAAAGUGAUGUGAAGACUUUAAUAUUACUUAAAUAAAGUUGUGAAAUAUAUGAAUCCUUUUACAUAAAAAAUGUUAUUACAAAAGCUGUUAUGUGUCAGUCACGUGAUAGACACAAUAAAGAUGCAUUUGGAAGUUA